rnacentral:lncRNA from 1 species
CUUUUUGCUGUGUCCUUUCUGAACAGUCAGCACGUUCCCCCUCAAAUAGUUUUUUGUUUGUUUGUUUUCCUGAAACGCGAGAAUUCAGCAGUUAUCUUUGGCAACACUUUAUCACGACCUUAAUUUAAAGAAUAAAAAUAAAAUUGAUCCACGUCUAUAUACAGUAUGUGAUUGCGCGGAGUUGGGGGUAGGGGGCUGAGCUGGGGGGGUGGGGGUGGGGUCCCGGCUUUGGGCCCAUGCAGAUGCUGUGGCCCCCCGAGACAGGCUAGCGGGCGGGCGGCAAGAGGGGGGGUUAAGGCGGAGUGGGUGGGCAGGGCUGGCGGAAGCUGAGCGCAGAGCUAGGGGCAAGGAUUUAGUGCAAUUCCCAAGGAGGUUUGUGUUAAAGUGUGCUCGGCAGGGGGUUCAGCCCUUGGCCCCUCCUCCCCACCCCGUAGUCCUAGAGGCCAGUAUUCCCCUAAGUCAGGUCACCCCCCUGGC